GUUUGAUCCUGGCUCAGGACGAACGCUGGCGGCGUGCUUAACACAUGCAAGUGGAGCGACGAACCAGGCUUCGGCCUGGGGCAGAGCCGCGAACGGGUGAGUAACACGUGGGUAACCUGCCCUGAUGAUUGGGACAACCCGAGGAAACUCGGGCUAAUACCAAAUGUGCCCUCUGGCCUCAAGGCCUCUGGGGAAAGGAAGCUUCGGCCUCCGCAUCGGGAUGGGCCCGCGGCCCAUUAGCUUGUUGGUGAGGUAAUGGCUCACCAAGGCUACGAUGGGUAGCUGGUCUGAGAGGACGAUCAGCCACACUUGGACUGAGACACGGCCCAGACUCCUACGGGAGGCAGCAGUGGGGAAUCUUGCGCAAUGCGCGAAAGCGUGACGCAGCAACGCCGCGUGGGGGAAGAAGGCCUUCGGGUUGUAAACCCCUUUCAGUUGGGACGAAGCUUCGCCGGUGAACAGCCGGCUGGAGUGACGGUACCUUCAGAAGAAGCCCCGGCUAACUACGUGCCAGCAGCCGCGGUAAUACGUAGGGGGCAAGCGUUGUCCGGAAUCAUUGGGCGUAAAGAGCGUGUAGGCGGCUUGGUAAGUCCGCUGUGAAAGUCCAGGGCUCAACCCUGGAAUGCCGGUGGAAACUGUCAAGCUAGAGUCCGGAAGAGGCGAGUGGAAUUCCUGGUGUAGCGGUGAAAUGCGCAGAUAUCAGGAGGAACACCAAUGGCGAAGGCAGCUCGCUGGGACGGUACUGACGCUGAGACGCGAAAGCGUGGGGAGCAAACAGGAUUAGAUACCCUGGUAGUCCACGCCGUAAACGAUGGGCACUAGGUGUGGGGGGUGUCGACUCCCUCCGUGCCGACGCUAACGCAUUAAGUGCCCCGCCUGGGGAGU
rnacentral:rRNA from 1 species